AAUAGGAAGAUGGAAAGAAGGAAAGAAGGAAGGAGAGAAAAGAGAGAGGGGGAGGGGAAUGGACAAUAGAAACAAGGAGGGAGGGAGGGAAAGUAGGAAAGAGAGAAGAAAGGAAGGAAGGAAGAAGAAAGAAAAAGGAGAAAGAAAUGAGGAAGAAGGACCAAAAAAAGACAGAAGGGAGGGAGGAGCAGCCAGCCCCAAAGAGCGAGCCCAUUAAAGAAAGAAAAGAGGAAAAGACCAAGAAAACAGAAAUAUGGGAGUUAGCAGAGGUGGAAAAAAGGAAGGAAAAGAGGGAGAGGGAGAGAGAAGAAAGGAAGGAAAGAAAACAGAGGAAGAGAGAGAAAGGGAAGAAAAAGGAAAGACAGAAAGAGAAAAAGAGAAAAGGAAAGGAGGGCGAAAGAGAGACGGAGAAGGAAUAAAGGAAACAACAACAACAAAAAAAGAACACCUGAAGCCAAGCCACUGGGAUCUUUGGACUUCACCAGUGUCACGGGCAAGGUGAUGCACCACUAUAGACUCAGCCAAGGAGAGGAAAGAAAUAUCAUACGAAGAAGUUCUGAUGAAAGAUCCUAGUUUCAGUCAGCUUCCUCUGCAUUCCCCCUGCUUCCCUGAAUCCAACAUUUGGCUCUCUUGGACCUAAUAUCCUUUCCUAAUCCUUCUCUUCCUAUACUGAACAUCAGGCUCCCUUAGCACACAGAAUACCUUGAAGUCAAUACAUGGUGGAUAAAUAAACAGAACUAGACGGAGACCUUGCCCUGGGGUUAUGAACUUUAAAAAAAAGACUGAACAAGCAAACAAAAGAAGAACACCAUCUCAAUUUGACAGCAGUGGAAGAGUUUGUAACAUUGUGAACAUCCUGUCUGCUGAGCUGAUUCUGGGACAGGUAUUCCCUGUUUACUAUCCAUGGGUGCCUUAGGACUUGGGCUGCUGUUAAGCGCUGAUGAGGAUCUACAUGAAGCAUCUUGGAGACAACAUCCUGUUAAAGAGGAAUUGCAGAGAGAAAGAAAAUGUAUGAUUUUGUUAUUUUUCUGAGGAUAACUUCCAAUUUUUCAAGAUGGAAUACUGAAAUAAAACACUAAGAAAUCAUCAUCUAAGAAUUGGUUCUGCAGUUCUUUUUGAUCAUGUUAAUGAAGUUCUGCUGCAGGAGGAAGGAAAAAAGAAAAGCCGUCCCGCACAAAACCCCAAACUCAAAAACUCAACCAGGAUAGUAUCCUGGAAAUGUAUAUAUGAAAGUCUGCCAGCAGACUAGAGAUGCUAAGAAAUCCCCUGCACUUACCCUGCUAACAUGGUAUACAACAGAAUCCCUAAGCUCCAGAUAUCGCAGGCUGCAUCAUAGCCUUGUCGUUUCAGGACCUACAGAUAAGUAAAAUGGAACAACAAAGACAUUAUUAUAUUCUACAAAAUUUGGAACUGCUGAAUUAAAAGUUGAUUUCUAUU